rnacentral:rRNA from 1 species
AACGAACGCUGGCGGCAGGCUUAACACAUGCAAGUCGAACGCCCCGCAAGGGGAGUGGCAGACGGGUGAGUAACGCGUGGGAAUCUACCCAGAUCUUCGGAACAACACAGGGAAACUUGUGCUAAUACCGGAUACGCCCUACGGGGGAAAGAUUUAUCGGUUCUGGAUGAGCCCGCGUUGGAUUAGCUAGUUGGUGGGGUAAUGGCCUACCAAGGCGACGAUCCAUAGCUGGUCUGAGAGGAUGAUCAGCCACACUGGGACUGAGACACGGCCCAGACUCCUACGGGAGGCAGCAGUGGGGAAUAUUGGACAAUGGGCGAAAGCCUGAUCCAGCCAUGCCGCGUGAGUGAUGAAGGCCUUAGGGUUGUAAAGCUCUUUCAGUAGGGAAGAUAAUGACGGUACCUACAGAAGAAGCCCCGGCUAACUUCGUGCCAGCAGCCGCCGUAAGAC